rnacentral:rRNA from 1 species
UCUUUAAUUUGAGACCGGCGCACGGGUGCGGAAGAGUAGGGAAUGUGCCUUCCACAGAGGGAUAGCCCAGAGAAAUCUGGAUUAAUACCUCAUAGCAUCAUGACCCGGCAUCGGGAUAUGAUUAAAGUCACAACGGUGGAAGAUGAGCAUGCGUCCCAUUAGCUAGUUGGUAAGGUAACGGCUUACCAAGGCUACGAUGGGUAGGGGUCCUGAGAGGGAGAUCCCCCACACUGGUACUGAGACACGGACCAGACUCCUACGGGAGGCAGCAGUGAGGAAUAUUGGUCAAUGGGCGCAAGCCUGAACCAGCCAUGCCGCGUGCAGGAUGACGGUCCUAUGGAUUGUAAACUGCUUUUGUACGGGAAGAAACCCUCCUACGUGUAGGAGCUUGACGGUACCGUAAGAAUAAGGAUCGGCUAACUCCGUGCCAGCAGCCGCGGUAAUACGGAGGAUCCAAGCGUUAUCCGGAAUCAUUGGGUUUAAAGGGUCUGUAGGCGGUCUUGUAAGUCAGUGGUGAAAGCCCAUCGCUCAACGGUGGAACGGCCAUUGAUACUGCUGGACUCGAAUUAUUGGGAAGCAACUAGAAUAUGUAGUGUAGCGGUGAAAUGCUUAGAGAUUACAUGGAAUACCAAUUGCGAAGGCAGGUUGCUACCAAUGGAUUGACGCUGAUGGACGAAAGCGUGGGUAGCGAACAGGAUUAGAUACCCUGGUAGUCCACGCCGUAAACGAUGGAUACUAGCUGUUGGGCGCAAGUUCAGUGGCUAAGCGAAAGUGAUAAGUAUCCCACCUGGGGAGUACGAACGCAAGUUUGAAACUCAAGGAAUUGACGGGGGCCCGCACAAGCGGUGGAGCAUGUGGUUUAAUUCGAUGAUACGCGAGGAACCUUACCACGCUUAAUGCA